UUAAUUGAAACCAAAAAGAGGUAUAUUACUGUUAAUAAUAAAAUUGAAUUUAUAUUCCAAUUAAG
rnacentral:tRNA from 1 species